AGCUCCAAUAGUGUAUGCUAACAUUGUUGCAGUUAAAAAGCUCGUAGUUGGAUUUUUAAGAGUAUCAAUUUUGUGUGGUCUUUGAACUGCAACAGAAGAUGAUUUUUCUUAUUUUGUGCUUGUACAUUGUUGGAAUUCGUUUUCUGAUAUUGGUGUAGGUAUGUGUUUACUUUGAGAAAAUUAGAGUGUUCUAUGCAGUUUAUUGAUAUUAUAUUAUAGCAUGGAAUAAUACCUAAUGACUUCGGUUAUUUUUUGUUGGUUUGGAGGCUGAUGUAAUGAUAUAUAGAGUUAGUCGGAGAUAUCAGUAUUUUGUCGUUAGAGGUGAAAUUCUAGGAUCGACAAAAGGCUAUC
rnacentral:rRNA from 1 species